UACGGGGGGGGCAAGCGUUGUUCGGAUUUACUGGGCGUAAAGGGCGCGUAGGCGGUCACUACAAGUCAGUUGUGAAAUCUCUGGGCUUAACUCAGAACGGUCAACUGAUACUGUUGGACUAGAGUGCGAGAAGGGGGCAACUGGAAUUCUCGGUGUAGCGGUGAAAUGCGUAGAUAUCGAGAGGAACACCUGCGGCGAAGGCGGGUUGCUGGGCUGACACUGACGCUGAGGCGCGAAAGCUAGGGGGAGCAAAACGGG
rnacentral:rRNA from 1 species